UGAUUUAACCACAUUUGGCUGGUGAGUGUUUGGUUUCACGCCGUCGUCAACAGUAUUUCAGUUAUUUAACGGCUUGUCAGCUUGAUGUAGGAAAAAACCCGAAGUGAUGCAGGUGCUAGAUGUUUACCACUUUGGUGAGACACACGUGCAUGGGUGUGGCAUAUUGAGCCAACUCAGAAACAUAAUCAGGGCAAACCGGGAUUCGAACCCACCACCAUAAGAUUCUUGUAGGCCUUUGACAUAUACUUGUACGGCGAUUUCUAGCGCCACAGACCACUGGGCCACCCAUGCGUACCUACCAUGAUUAUAUGUCAUUUACAAAUUCUUUGUAACUGAAGCUGAUUUAUUCUCUUUGACGAGAGACACUUAUAUCUGGGUACUAACAAUCAUACCCGGUUGUGCGUGGGUCUUUAGCAGUCUAGGUUCGCUAACUUGGUUGAUGCAGUCUUCGUCUGCCAUGUGUUUAGAUCGAUGCAAAGGGUGUCUGUCAGAGGAUUGCCUGAUGCUGACUUAUGUGCUUCGUAAAAUAACCAAGAAACUCACACAGAAAUGUUUUAAUCUUAUACUCUUAAAGUAAACAAUCAAUGGAUAAACAAUCACGUUCUCAUAAGUCCACGUGGAAUGUGUAUCACAGGUUUCGAAGUUUUGACUUUUCAAGCGCGACUUGUCAUGGAGACCUACAACAUAAACAAAAUGUACGAUAUAAACAUGUGGCAAUUAACUACAAAUUAAGGUCAACAGAUAGUCAGGCAAUCUUUAAAGAAAGACAUUCAACAUAAGGGAAAGGUUAAAUAUGAUUUAAAAUAAUUACAUAUAAGAAUGGAAUCGUCCACGUGUCUGACUCAUCAAAACUUUCUCUUUAAGGUAAUAUCAAAGCUAUUUUUGGUUACCAAAUAUACUUAGGCAUGUCACAUUUGGACUUAUCACACUAUGCUCAGAA